UACGAAGGGGGCUAGCGUUGCUCGGAAUCACUGGGCGUAAAGAGCUCGUAGGCGGCUUGUUGCGUCGACUGUGAAAACCCGCGGCUCAACCGUGUGGCUUGCAGUCGAUACGGGCAGGCUAGAGUUCGGUAGGGGAGACUGGAAUUCCUGGUGUAGCGGUGAAAUGCGUAGAUAUCGGAAGGAACACCUGUGGCGAAAGCGGCUCACUGGACCAUUACUGACGCUGAUGCACGAAAGCUAGGGGAGCAAACAGG
rnacentral:rRNA from 1 species